rnacentral:rRNA from 1 species
UUUAAGCUUCUACGGGAGGCUGCAGUGGGGAAUAUUGGACAAUGGGCGCAAGCCUGAUCCAGCCAUGCCGCGUGUGUGAAGAAGGCCUUAUGGUUGUAAAGCACUUUAAGCGAGGAGGAGGCUACUUUAGUUAAUACCUAGAGAUAGUGGACGUUACUCGCAGAAUAAGCACCGGCUAACUCUGUGCCAGCAGCCGCGGUAAUACAGAGGGUGCAAGCGUUAAUCGGAUUUACUGGGCGUAAAGCGCGCGUAGGCGGCUAAUUAAGUCAAAUGUGAAAUCCCCGAGCUUAACUUGGGAAUUGCAUUCGAUACUGGUUAGCUAGAGUGUGGGAGAGGAUGGUAGAAUUCCAGGUGUAGCGGUGAAAUGCGUAGAGAUCUGGAGGAAUACCGAUGGCGAAGGCAGCCAUCUGGCCUAACACUGACGCUGAGGUGCGAAAGCAUGGGGAGCAAACAGGAUUAGAUACCCUUGUAGUCGAAUUC